rnacentral:RNase_P_RNA from 1 species
UGGGUCGGCUGGACGGUCGCGUCACGGGUUCGCCCGUGCCGAGGAACGUCCGGGCUCCACAGGGCAGGACGGUGGGUAACACCCACCCGGAGUGAUCCGCGAGACAGUGCCACAGAGAGCAGACCGCCACGGUGCCUCGCUCGUCGAGGCGCCGGGGUAAGGGUGAAAGGGUGGUGUAAGAGACCACCGGGGUCGUGGUGACACGACCCGCACGGUAAACCUCGUCCGGAGCAAGGCCAUACAGGGGAUGCUGACGCGGCUCGCCGAGUCCCCGGGUAGGCCGCUAGAGCGGCACGGCAACGUGUCGCGUAGAGAGAUGACCGUCCACGGGGCUCACGCCCCCGGACAGAACCCGGCGUACAGGCCGGCCCAUUCG